rnacentral:tRNA from 1 species
GGGGCUGUAGCUCAGCGGUAGAGCGCUCGCCUUUUAAGUGAGAGGUCGCGGGUUCGAAUCCCUUCAGUUCCA